UUUAGAAAUGAAGAUUAACACCCCAUAAUAUAUUUAGGCCGCAUGUUUUUAUAUUAAAGGUUACGGUACAAGAUGAGUAUGCGUCCUAUUAGCUAGUUGGUAUGGUAACGGCAUACCAAGGCAACGAUAGGUAGGGGCCCUGAGAGGGGGAUCCCCCACACUGGUACUGAGACACGGACCAGACUCCUACGGGAGGCAGCAGUGAGGAAUAUUGGACAAUGGGGGGAACCCUGAUCCAGCCAUGCCGCGUGCAGGAAGACUGCCCUAUGGGUUGUAAACUGCUUUUGUACGGGAAGAAACCGCUCUACGCGUAGAGCCUUGACGGUACCGUAAGAAUAAGCAUCGGCUAACUCCGUGCCAGCAGCCGCGGUAAUACGGAGGAUGCAAGCGUUAUCCGGAAUCAUUGGGUUUAAAGGGUCCGUAGUGGGCCGGUCAGUCAGAGGUGAAAUCCUGCAGCUCAACUGUAGAACUGCCUUUGAUACUGCCGGUCUUGAAUCGUUGUGAAGUGGUUAGAAUAUGUAGUGUAGCGGUGAAAUGCAUAGAUAUUACAUAGAAUACCGAUUGCGAAGCAGAUCACUAACAGCGUAUUGACACUGAUGGACGAAAGCGUAGGUAGCGAACGGGAUUAGAUACCCCGGUAGUCUACGCCGUAAACGAUGGAUACUAGCUGUCCGGCUUCGGCUGGGUGGCUAAGCGAAAGUGAUAAGUAUCCCACCUGGGGAGUACGUUCGCAAGAAUGAAACUCAAGGAAUUGACGGGGGCCCGCACAAGCGUGGAGCAUGUGGUUUAAUUCGAUGAUACGCGAGGAACCUUACCAGGGCUUAAAUGUAGACUGACAGCUUUAGAGAUAGAGUUUUCUUCGGACAG
rnacentral:rRNA from 1 species